UCCUUUUACAAAUGUUAAAACCCAAUAGUACCUAACUAGACCAACCCAAUCCUAAGCCUACCCAAACCCAAUAAGCAGCAAUCCAGCAGGGCCCAAAUUCGAAACACUAGGGCAGAAACCCUAGUGAUCCUUAGCGCCGUAAACAGCAGACAAGAGCCCCGCCCAGCACGACCUUCAAUCGCGCUGCAAUCAUCGCAAUCAGCGCACCAAUCCACCGGAGAUCUCGCCACAGACCUGCAAAAAAGGAAAGAAAGACCAAGCAGAAUAAGAAAGAAAUCAAAGAUUGUACUUUCUAUAUAUUAUUCAGGCU
rnacentral:lncRNA from 1 species